GGCCAGACUCCUACGGGAGGCAGCAGUGAGGAAUAUUGGUCAAUGGCCGGAAGGCUGAACCAGCCAAGUCGCGUGAGGGACGACUGCCCUAUGGGUUGUAAACCUCUUUUAUAAGGGAAGAAUAAAUGCUACGUGUAGCAUGAUGCCUGUACCUUAUGAAUAAGCAUCGGCUAACUCCGUGCCAGCAGCCGCGGUAAUACGGAGGAUGCGAGCGUUAUCCGGAUUUAUUGGGUUUAAAGGGUGCGUAGGCGGAACAUUAAGUCAGCGGUAAAAUCGAGGGGCUCAACCCCUUUAAGCCGUUGAAACUGGUGAUCUUGAGUGGGCGAGAAGUAUGCGGAAUGCGUGGUGUAGCGGUGAAAUGCAUAGAUAUCACGCAGAACUCCGAUUGCGAAGGCAGCAUACCGGCGCCCGACUGACGCUGAGGCACGAAAGCGUGGGGAUCGAACAGGAUUAGAUACCCCCGUAA
rnacentral:rRNA from 1 species